rnacentral:rRNA from 1 species
UACAGAGGGUGCAAACGUUGCUCGGAAUUAUUGGGCGUAAAGCGCAUGUAGGCGGCACGAUAAGUUCACUGUGAAAGCCCUUGGCUCAACCAAGGAAGUGCAGUGAAAAACUGUCGAGCUCGAGUUCUGAAGAGGGUCGCGGAAUGGCCAGUGUAGAGGUGAAAUUCGUAGAUAUUGGCUAGAACACCAGUGGCGAAGGCGGCGACCUGGGAAGAUACUGACGCUGAGAUGCGAAAGCGUGGGGGAGCAAACAGG